AGUCAAGAACUUCAUGCUAAAUAAUGGUGCUACCUACCUUUAAGACUUUCAGACAUUAAGUGGUUCAAGAAAGUAAAGAAGUGGGCAGAAGAGAUUGCUCAGCACCUAAGAGUACCAGCUGUUCUUCUAGAGGACCUGGGUUUAAUUCUUGGCAGCCACAUGAUGGCUCAGGACUAUCUGUAACUCCAGUUUGAGGUAGUUCCAGUUCCAACAUCAUCUUACAGAUAUACAUACAGGCAAAACACCAAUGCAUGUGAAGUUAAAAAUAAAUAAAUUUUAAAAAGAAACUAAAGAGGGAAUAUUUUAUGCA